rnacentral:rRNA from 1 species
GACAGCCAGGAUGUUGGCUUAGAAGCAGCCAUCAUUUAAAGAAAGCGUAAUAGCUCACUGGUCGAGUCGGCCUGCGCGGAAGAUGUAACGGGGCUAAACCAUGCACCGAAGCUGCGGCAGCGACGCUUAUGCGUUGUUGGGUAGGGGAGCGUUCUGUAAGCCUGUGAAGGUGUACUGUGAGGUAUGCUGGAGGUAUCAGAAGUGCGAAUGCUGACAUAAGUAACGAUAAAGCGGGUGAAAAGCCCCCUCGCCGGAGGAC